UGGCGGACGGGUGAGUAACGCGUGGGUAACCUGCCUCAUACAGGGGGAUAACAGUUAGAAAUGACUGCUAAUACCGCAUAAGACCACAGCACCGCAUGGUGCAGGGGUAAAAACUCCGGUGGUAUGAGAUGGGCCCGCGUCUGAUUAGGUAGUUGGUGGGGUAACGGCCUACCAAGCCGACGAUCAGUAGCCGACCUGAGAGGGUGACCGGCCACAUUGAGACUGAGACACGGCCCAA
rnacentral:rRNA from 1 species